rnacentral:rRNA from 1 species
UACAGAGGGUGCGAGCGUUAAUCGGAAUUACUGGGCGUAAAGCGCGCGUAGGCGGCUUUGCAAGUCGGGGUGUGAAAUCCCCAGGCUCAACCUGGGAACUGCAUUCGAGACUGCAUUGCUAGAGUAUGGGAGAGGGAAGUGGAAUUUCCGGUGUAGCGGUGAAAUGCGUAGAUAUCGGAAGGAACAUCAGUGGCGAAAGC